UCAUGGCUGAAUGCUGUGUUCUUUUUCUAUCAGUAGUUUGCACAGCCAGACACCAUGCCAAACAAACAAACAAAC
rnacentral:snoRNA from 1 species